rnacentral:rRNA from 2 species
UAGGGAAUAUUGCACAAUGGAGGAAACUCUGAUGCAGCGACGCCGCGUGAGUGAUGAAGGCCUUCGGGUCGUAAAGCUCUGUCGCAGGGGAAUAACACAAUGAAGGUACCCUGUAAGAAAGGAUCGGCUAACUUCGUGCCAGCAGCCGCGGUAAGACGAGGGAUCCUAGCGUUGUUCGGAAUCAUUGGGCGUAAAGCGGGUGUAGGUGGCUUUGUAAGUCGAGUGUGAAAGCCUGGGGCUCAACCCCAGAAGUGCAUUCGAUACUGCGAAGCUUGAGUGGUAGAGAGGUUAGUAGAAUUGUUGGUGUAGUGGUGAAAUACGUAGAUAUCAACAGGAAUACCGGAGGCGAAGGCGGCUAACUGGCUACACACUGACACUCAGACCCGAAAGUGCGGGGAUCAAACAGG